UAUUAUAUUGGUUUGACUGAUAACAUAAAGAAAAGACUUAGCGAGCACAGGCAUAAGAUGUCUCGCUAUACAAAGGGCAGAUUACCAAUAAGGUUAGUUUGGAUGGGUACUUUUAGAAACAAAAAAUUAGCAGUAAAAUUUGAGAAAUAUCUAAAAUCAGGUUCAGGUAAUGCUUUCAUGAAAAAAAGAUUAGUUUGAAACUUGUGUUCCGUAGCUUUAGCGGAGGAACAUUCCCUUAGUAGCGGCGAGCGAAAAGGGAGGAGCCUAAAUCUCUCCACCACUUUAUAAAGUGGCGGGGGGAGGUUGUAAGGAAAUAUCGUCUGGAGUCUUUCUUCUUAAGAGAAAGUCUCUGGAGGGAGAGCACUUAGAUAAAGUGAUUAGUUGAAAUGCCCUGGAAAGGGAUACCAAAGAUGGUAAUAGUCCAGUAGACGAAAAUCACUUUAUGCUCCUUGAUAUUUUUCUUAAGUACCAUGGGAAAAGAUAAUCCUGUGGGAAGCAGGCGGAACUAAAUCGCCAAGGCUAAAUACUCAACCUCACCGAUAGUGCACUAGUACCGUGAGGGAAAGGUGAAAAGUAGGGAGGUGAUCCCGGUGAAAUAGAACCUGAAACCAUCACGCUUACAAAGAGUCGGAGCCCCCCACCACUUUUCGUAAUUUAACAUUUUUAAUGUUAGGAGGUUGUGGAAAGUGGUGGGGGGUGACGGCGUACUUUUUGGAGAACGAACCAACGAGUUCCCCUCCUAACUUUGUCUAAGCACUUCUGGUGCGGAGGCAAAGUGAAAGCAAGCGUUAACAGCGCGUUUCUCUAAAUUUUUAGAGAAUAAAAAGUUAGGAGGGAAGACCCGAAGCCAAGCGAGCUUGCCAUGGCCAGGGUGAACCCUGGAGAAAUCCGGGGGGAGGCCCGAACCCGUGGACCGUGCAAUAUCCUGGGAUGAGCUGUGGUAAGAAGCGAAAAACUAAACGAGCUUGGUAAUAGCUGGUUCUCCCCGAAAUAGCUUUGGGGCUAGCGCCGAGAGUUUGGAAUUGGAGGUAGAGCACUGAAUGGAAUUUCUUGCCGAAAGGCGGAGAUUCCAACCAAACUCCGAAUGCCAAUUUUUUAAUCUCGGUAGUCAGACCUUGGGGGCUAAGCUCCGAGGUCAAAAGGGAAAAAGCCCUUGAUCUUCAUCUAAGGUCCCAAAAUUUGAGCUAAUUGAGAAAGGAAGUGCCUCCUCCUUGACAGGUAGGAGGUUAGCUUAGAGGUAGCUAUCCUUUAAAGAGUGUGUAAUAACUCACUACUCUAGUCUUCUUUUAGGAGACAAGGAGGGGGUGCGCCGAAGAUUUCCGGGACUAAGCUCAAUACCGAAGAUAAGAUUCCCUACUACUUUAGGUAGUGGGGGAGGUAGGGGAGCGUUCUUAAGGCAGUGAAGUCUAUGACGUAAGUCAGGAUGGAGCCUUGAGAAGUGAGAAUGUUGGUAUGAGUAACCGCAAGGGCAGUGAAAUUCUGCCCGACCGAAAGCCUAAGGUUUCCUUGGCAAUGGCAAUCAACCAAGGGUUAGGCGGCCCUAAGGCAAAGCCGAAAGGUCUAGCUGAUGGACAGCCGGUCAAUAUUCCGGCCCUCCCUCACCAAUUUUUAAAAGGGGACGCAGUCGAAAUCUCUGGGAAAAUUAUUGGAUUUUGAGGUUGGAGUAAUCCGACCGCCUCAGAGACUAGAUUGCCUAGAAAAGCCUUUUAAAAGUUAAAUUGGUGGGGGAUCCGUACCGCAAACCGACACAGGUAGGCUGGUGUAAGAACACCAAGGUUAACGGGUGAAACCUCGUUAAGGAACUCGGCAAAAAAGCAGGCGUAAGUUCGCGAUAUGCCUUGCCCCGGUCCGAAAGGGCUUAGGGGUCGCAGCGAAAGUACCCCUGGCGACUGUUUAACUAAAACACAGGUCCCUGCUUAAUUGGUAACAAGAUGUAUAGGGACUGAGGCCUGACCAGUACUCGUGUGUUAAGGUUGCUGGUUUCUGCCUCAAGGUGGAAGCUAAGCGACUUAAGCCACGGGCAAACGUCCGCGGUAACUCUGACCGUGUUAAAGUAGCGUAACCCCUUGUCAGGUAAGUUCUGACCCGCAUGAAAGGCUUAACGACUAGGGGACUGUCUCAACGAGGCGCCCGGUGAAAAUGCAACAAGCGUGAAGACGCGCUUUACCUGGGGCUAGACGGAAAGACCCCGAGAGCUUUACUGGAGGGUGGUAUUGAAUUUUGGGUUUUGAUGCGUAGCGUAGUGGGGAGGCUGUGAAGGGCCGAUUUCGGUUGGUCUGGAGCCGUCAAUGAAACACCCAUCUUUGAAACUCUUUGUUCUAAGCUGAAAGGUGACAGUGCCACUCGGCCAGUUUAAGUGGGGCACUUGCCUCCUAAAAGGUAAUGGAGGCGUUUAAAGGUCGGCUAGCUCCGGAUGGAAAUCGGAGUGGUCGGGCAAAGCCAUAAGCCGGCUUGACUGCAACAAGGAUAUUUGGCGCAGAGAGGAAACUCGAACUUAGUGAACCGACGGAUUUUAAUAGAAAAUCCGAAGAUCAUCAGCCAAAAGUUACCUCGGGGAUAACAGGCUAGUAGGGCCCGCGAGUCCACAUCAACGGCCCUGUUCGGCACCUCAAAGAAUUGCCGACAAUAUCGGGGUGCUAUGGCAGUAAUGCCAUAUGAAAAAUUGGCUUAUAACGGUGAAAUCCAUUUAAAUUUGUGCUAAGAUUUAAUAAUGGACAACACCGUGGGAAGUCUUACCCAAGAGCAAAAGUCAAUUAUU
rnacentral:rRNA from 1 species